ACACAUCAUUUGAGGGACAUUUCUUUCACUUCCAAUUGCGUCACUGCAUGCCUCAGACUUCCUCCGAUCACCAUUGAUAAGUCAACCAAGACAUUGUUCUUCAACUUGAUAGCCUAUGAAAUGAGCUCAGACGUUGACCAUCACUUCAUCUCUUACCUUCGCUUCCUUGAUUCCCUCAUUGAUCAUGCUGAUGACGUUAAGGAGCUGCAGUCCGCCGGGGUACUCCAAAACAAUCUAGGCACUCAUGAAGAAGUGGCUGAAUUUUUCAACACUGUGUCCGCCGACUUGGAAUCAAACUUUCUUGCUUACAAAGAUGUGAGAGUCAAGAUUCGGAACCACCUUAAAAGUCACUAUAACAGCAGACUGAAAAUGUGGAUGACACAAUGCCUGGACACCUACUUCGGUAGCCCCUGGACUAUCAUAGCUUGGGUUGGUGCUGCUUUGGCCCUUUUCUUUACUGCCGUCCAGACUUACCUCUCAGUCUUCCCUCAUUGAUGCAUGCAUGCCCUGUUUUCUCGCUAUCUAUUGAGUGCUUCUGCAUUUUACCUAGCCCAAAUUCAUGGCCUCCAUAUAACCCUUUGAUGGUUGCAAAGUAAAUUAGGCAAAGAGUCAUUGGUCUCGUUUCUUUUCCUUUUUCAGCGUAUUUUCUAUCUUCCUUUCCGUGUGUAAAACAAGUAAAAAAGGAAUGUGUGCUGUGAUCUUAUUUUAGUGUAUUUUGUGCCUAUGUAUGCAUCAGUAAUAUUAUGUUUUAUUUAAGUAACUAAAAAUAGAUAUGGGUGGACUAUUUUUCUAUUUUUGGAUCCCUGUUAAUGUAUUAUGUUAGGUUGGCAAUUUUAUUCAUUGAUGUUUUAGUCGGAUACAACUUAUUUCCUCAAAUCUUAAUGGUUGUGACCGAGUUCAUCAGUUCGAUACGAGGUAAGUGUUUGAAGAAGUAGAUACAGCAAUGAAAACUUAAAAUAUGAAAAACAAAAACAAAAAAGCAAAAGCAAAACAAAGUGAAAGUGGAGAAAAACCUGGCUGGAAUGUACGAAAUUCAACAGAUGCAAGUGUCAUUUAUUCAUUUUUAUUUGAGAAAAAAUAAAAUAUUAAAAAUAUUCUUAGAAAUCUAUUUAUCAAUUUUUUAUUAUAAUUUUUUUCUUGGAUUUCGUACAAAAUAUAUCAAAAGAAUUGAUAUUAGCUUCCAUGAACUUAUCUCAAAUACCAUUUUUGUGGCGAAGAAGCUUCCAACAAGUGGAUCUUUUCUGAAGAAAAUAAAGGGAAGAAGCCGUGGAAUAGAAUAACGGGGAAUGGUAUUUAUGUUAUAUUGAAGGCAAUUAAUGGAUGGAUGUAUUGAUAUGAUUUUUAUCUUCUUGGUUGAUUGUGUAAAUAGAAUGAUUGUCUAGAGAAUUUAUUAGGUGGAAGUAAAUAUGAAUUCUCUUCAUCUCAAAGGGAGUAGUAUUUUUUGGUGAAAAAGAGUUUAGUAAUUUAAUCAUUUUACAAAAAAAACAUUUUAUUUUUCUUUUUUAUUUUUAAGAUGAUAUUAGAAAGUUUGAAUGUAAUGUUUUACAUUGGAUAUAUGAGAAAAUUGGGUAUCAAUCCCUUACUCCGGUAUGGGAGUUUGUUUGGUUCUAUAAAGGGUAUUUAUUUGUUUCGUCCAACAAUCUCAUAGGAUACAACAAAGACAUUAUAUUUAUAUGAGGAAUGUUUGUAAUGUUUCACAAUGAAUAAAAGAGAAAGUUCCUAAGAUUAUAUAUGUAUGAGUUUCUUUUAAUUUUGUAAACGUGUUUUAGAGUCUUAAAUGUCUUAUUGGACACAGAGCAAAUAAUAUUUAUAUGGUUAGAUACAAGUCAUCACAAAUGGUUUAAAAGCUAAUCAUUUUUCUUGGUGUGGGAGUUUGUUUAGUCCUAUGAAGCAUUUUUGUCUAUUUGACCAUAUAAUCUCAUGAGACAUGUGGUUAUGUCCCAUAAACAAAAAUUUGAAGUGAAAGAAAUGAUCUCUUGAAAAAUAUUUAAGACACUUUAAAUAUAUAUAUAUGACAAUCUCGUUGUAAUCAAAAGUCAAUUUCAAACCAAGACAAAAUUUGUCGAUUUGUUCAUGGUUUAAGAUAAAGGUAUGAAUUUUUUUUUUCACCUACUAUACUUUUCUAGCCAAUUUAUAGUAGCUUUUCAAAGACAUAAGCAAUCACUCACUACCAAAAAAAAAAAAAAAAGAAAAUGUUCUUAAAGCAUGCAUAAUUUUUUAUUUGGACGACAUUGUAAUGAUCAAAAUGGUUGAGAAAACAAAAUUUUCAAUUUGAUGGGAAGGGGUUUCAUCCUUUUUAUGUGUUACAAUUCUUAAAAAAUAAAAAAUAAAAAAUACUUUCGUGUUUUUAUGAAGUCCUUGUCAAAGGAUGUCUUUAUCAUGUUUUAAGACAAGUUGGGACUAUAGACAGUUAUUGGCAUUGGCCAAAUAACCAAGAAUUCUUGAUACUUGUCCCAUACAAGUAUAGUUUUCUAAGUUGGGUUGAUUUUUGUAAACCACAACUCUUCAACCCAGUAAAUGGCGUUAAAUAUAAUGUUUGGAGGUUGGUCAUCUUAUGAAGACCCAAAUCACCACCAAAGCAACUCUCCAUUUUCGGUUGGCUUAAGAUCUUACUGUCAGGAAUGUAUAGAUGUUUCAAUUGGUACAACUUCCAAAUUGAACAUGGAAUCACGGAAGAACUAUGGCGUACCUCUAGAAUCUAUAGGUUAAAGAGUUUGCCUAUAGACCAUGAAAAACUUUUAGUAGAACGUGCACUCUCGACAGAAAAAUAUUUGUAGAUCUUUUCUGACUUCAAGUAGUGUUAGGUCUAACACUGUUAGCAAUUUUGUUCUUAAGCAAGGUAUCAAAUUUACUUGAGAAAGAUCAAUAGAACAAAUCAAAGAUCGGAGGAGGCGGCAGGUAUGCAAAUGUUUGAGAAAUAUUUUUUAAGUCAUGAGCAAUAAGUCGACGAGGGUUAAAAGGGCAUGCAAGGAUGAUGUUUCGGUGUACCUCAAAUUUUUUUGAAUCUUUGGCUUUUGAAAUAGCAAGGUCGCGAAGGAGAUCAUGGAUACGACAAGACUUUACUCUUCCAUCCCAUUUUCUUCUGGCCACCUGAAUCAUGCUUCUAUGAAUCAACUCUUCUAAAUAAUCCUCAGCAACGUCUUCCACCAUUUCUUCACCCCUUUGUACAAAUCCCUCCGUAAUCCACAUUUGGAGCAAUUUGUUUGCCUUAAUUUCACAAUCUUCCGGAAAAAUACCACAAUAGAGAAAACAAGACCUCAAGAAAUAAGGCAAGUCACUAUAGCUCAAAGCAACAAUUCCCAAGCAUGAGUUGGGGCCUUGACUUAGAUUUCCACUCCAUGCUUUUUAGUAUUUUCUCCCACGAAGAUUUAGACUUCUCUUUUCUUGAUAGAAGCCCUCCUGAUACCACAAUGGCUAGAGGUAAGCCUUUGCAUUUCUUUAUAAUCUCAUUUCCCAUACCUUCAAACUCUACAAGACAAACAACUGGUGAUGUACUUGCAGUUGGAAAAGUUUUCUUGAGAAAGGGCAUCCAACUCUCUUCUGGACAUAAAGGACGGAGUUCAUAGAGCUGUGCAUGGGCAUCCGAAGCAAUUUGUUGGUUAUGUGUGGUGAUGAGCACUCUGCUCUUGUUUGACUUAUGCUAAACUUGGAUGCUCUAUACAUCAUCCAACACUAUCAAAUACCUUUUAUCUUUGAGGUAACCAUUAACCUCUUUCCCCAAUUGAUCCUCAACCAUUUUAUAUUACCUUUAAAAAUUAUUUAAAAUAGCCUUAUGUCACGGACUUAGUCUUUUCCUAAUUAAGCUUGUGCGGCACUUAGACAAACUAAGACCCUUGAUCUUGCUAAGUCAGUCUUACUCUCAAUGCUUAGCUUGCUAGGCUAAGACGCUCACUACUCGGAAGUUUUAGAAGGUAUAGUAGGCAACUCUUAUAGAAUGAAAGCUUUAUUGCUUUCAAAUGAAGCUAUACAAUGCUUAGAAGCUCACUUGCUUGGUUAGGAAGUGAUAUUGAAGCUUUAUUACUUUACUGCCGUCUAGACUUACUUCUCAGCCUUCUCUCAUUGAUGCAUGCAUUCCCUGCUUUCUUGCUAUCUAUCGAGUGCUUCUGCAUUUUACCUAGCCUAAAUUCAUGGACUCCACAUGACCCUUUGAUGUGCAUAGUAAAUUAGGCAAAGAGUCAUUCGUUCCGUUUCUUUUCCAUCUCAGCAGAAUGAAUGGGUGCUGUGAUCUUAUUUUGGUGUAUUUUGUGGUUAUGUACGCAUAGGUAGUAUUAUGUUUGAUUUAAGUAACUAAAAAUAGGCAUGGGUGGACUAUGUUUUCUAUGUUUGGAUCCCUAUGAAUGUAUUGUAUUAGGUUGGCAAUUUUUUUUUAUUGAUGUUUUACUCCAUGCAACUUAUUUCCUCGGAUCUUAAUGGUUGUGAUUGAAUUAAAAUUACUAUGAGGUAAGGGUUUGAAGGAGCAAGAUAAAGUAUGAAAACUUCCAAAAAAAAAAAAGAGAAACAGAACAAUGUGAAAAAUGGAGAAAAACCUGACAGGAAUGCAGGAAAUUUAAUAGAUGAAAGUUAUUUAUUCAUUUUUAAUUGAGAAAAAUAGAAUAUUAUUAUUAUUAUUAUUAGAAAAUUAUUUAUCAAUUUUCUAUUAAAAAAUUUUCUUGGAUUUCACAGAAAAUAUAAUAAAUAAAUUGACAUUAGCUUCCAUGAACUUAUCUCAAAUCCCAUUUUUUUGUGACAGAAGCUUCUGAGGACAGGAUUUUUUUUCUCAGGAAAAAUGGGUGGAACAAGGUGGAAGGUGUGGAAUAGAAGAAUGGAGAAUGGUAUGGAUGUAUUGAUAUGAUUUUAAUCCUCUUGGUAGAUUGUGUAAAUCAGAUGAAUGCGUCAGAGAAUUUCUUGAAUAAGGGUGUAGUAAUUUUCGGUAAUGAAGAGUUCAGUAAUUUGUUGAAUUGUUUUUAAAAUAUUUUCUUUUUCUUUCCAGUUUUUAAGAUGAUAUUGGAAGGUUUGACUCAGUAAUAUUAGGUUUAUAUGUGUUCAGAAUAUGUGCAGGGUUUACAACUUAUAUAAUUUUUGGCAAAUAUUUGUCACAACAGUAAUUAUGAAACUUUUAAGAUGAAUUUAGAAGUGAAAAGUGUUUUAAAAAGUGGAAAAAUCUCCGUAAAAAAGAUUGUGUUAUCUAGCAUGAUUUUUUUUUUCUUUGCUUUUCUUUGCUUUUGUUGCAACUCUUCUAUUUCCAACCUUUUCUUAGGACCAAAAUACUAAUAGUUUCUAUUAAGCAAAAUAAUAAAACAUGACACAAGAUGUACAAUGAUAGGACACAUAAUGAUAAGAAUCCACUUUCAUUAAUAUUUAUAUAAAUAAAAAAUAAUCAAAUAUUAAUUUUAUUUGAUUCUCCUAAUUUAGAAAAUAAUAUUUAUUUUAGAUAAAUCAAGAGCAGCUAAGAAUAUUUUAUCUUCUUAAUUUAGGAAAUAAUAUUUAUUUCCUUAAUGUUAAGAUAUUUAUUUCUUUCUAUGAUACACAAUGCAUCUUUGUAUAAAUUUCUGAAAAAAACAAUAAAACAAUUGUUUUCAUUAUGAAGAAGCUCAAACUUGAGUCUUCUCCAAGAGUGGUUGAAUGUUCUAGAAAGAAUGUCAUAAAAGGCUUGAUGUAUCCUCGUAAAUCAUAUCUUCCUCUUUAAAAAAAAAAAAAAAAAAAAGCCUUAAUGUUCCCAUCUUCCAUUAAUAUUCUUUCUAGUUUGAUUUCAAUCAAGCUAAACAACACAAAUUUUCUACCAUGGUGAAAUCAAAUCAUCCUCUUUCAUGACUUCAAUGUUUUAGCCUUUCAUGUAUGUUCUACGCUUUCAUUAGAGUUAUUUCUGGCUUGAUUUCAAUCAAGUUAAACACCACAAAUUUUCAAUUUUUGUCAUCUUCUUAAUUUGUGGUGUAAGUGUUCUCCAACAUUUCUUACCUCUUGAAAAAAUUAAAUAUUAUAAGGAAAGCAAUGUUCUAUCUUACAAUACUAGUUAUUGAUCAAUGAUAAAUUCAUCACUUCAUGAAUUUGAAUCAUAAAAGAGCAUAUUUUAAGUAUAAUCUUUGGUGUUAACAUGGUGUAUGAGAUAUGAACUUUUAAAGAGAAAUUGCUUCUUAUUAUAAUUGACAAUCACGUCAUAAUCAAAAGCCAAUUUCAAAUCAAGACAAAGUUUGUGAAUCUGUUCAUGGUUUAGGAUAAAGGUCUGAAAUAUUUUUCACCUACUAUGCUUUUCUAGCCUAUUCAUGGUAGCUUUUUAAGAAUACAUGCAAUCAUUCACUACCAAAAGGGAGGGAGAAAACAUUCUUAGAGCAUGCACACAUUUUUAUUUGAACGAUAUAGUCAUAAUUAAAAUGGUUGAGAAGACAAAAUUUUCAAUGUUAGGAAAGAGGCUUCACACUUUUUGUGUGUUAUAUUUCUCACAAAAAAAAUUCUUUCAUGUUUUGAUCAAAUCUCCAUAAAAAAUGAUGUCUUCACCAUGUUUAAGAGUAUAUUGGGUCAAAUAUACUUUACCUUCUUAAGUAAUCAUGUGCUUUACAUUUUGUUCCCUCGUUUAAAAUUCAACAAUUUGUCUUCCAAACUUCUUAAAAACCAACAUUACACCUUUUUUGUUGAAUGAUGUUACAUUAAUAAAACGAAAAAUGUAAGUGCCUUGCAUGUGACCUAAUAAGUAGAGGUAAAAUUGUCAUUUGAAAUACUCAAAGCCUUAAAAUCUCGUCAAUCUUUGUUUUUCCUUCCUCCAAACUCUUCAAUCUUCGAUUUUCUUUCUCCAAAGCCCUAAAAUUCAAUCAUCAAAGGGUUGAGAGUUUGAUUUAAAAUAUGGAUUUCAAUGAUAGUUUUUUUUUUUAUAAACCCCUACACUGUUUUGCUUCAAUUUUGUCUUUGAUAGCUAAGAAAAUUUCAAGAAGAGAAUAAAUUUUGAGUGAUGAGGUGUUUAUAAGGGUUAGGGUUUUCUUUUGAUAGUUGAAAAAUUUUUGGACAUCAUCAAUUUUUUUUUUCAGACUUAUAAAAUAUAUAAUAAAUAUUUUUUAAAUAGCUUAACAAAUAUUUUUUUUGUUUUUUACUUACAAAAUAAUAAAUAUGCCGUACAUUAUUUGUCCUAUAUAUUAAAUAAUUUUUAAAUACCUCAUAAAAUAUUAUUAUUAUUAUUAUUAUUUUAACUUACAAAUUAGACUCAUAGUGUUUAUUAUUUGUCAUAUUAUUUUGAAAAUAAUGUAAACAAUCACAUGCACUUUAAGAUAUUCAAAAUUUCUCUAUUCCAAAAUUAUCUAACUGUUCAUCACACUAAUUCUAAAUAUUUUAAAAUAAAGAUUUUAUACUGUUUUGGUUUUGGAGAGUUUAUUUUAUAUGUUGUAUAUAUUUUAUAUAUUUUUUUUUUGUUGGGUAUAUAUAGAAUUGAACAUUUGAUAGUUUAAAAUUUUUGUUUUAAUAAAAGAAAUCGUUAAAUAAACAUGUUUUAAUAAAAUAAUAUUUCUAAAACAUUUUUCUUAAUAAAAGAAAGUUUUUUAUUAAUAAAAAUAAAAAAAAACGCUUUUAAGAAAAUCCAAAAAAAAAAAUUGUUUGUAAUGAAAUUUGAAAAAUUAUUUUUAAUAAUAAUUAUCAAAAAAAUUAUUUAUUUAAUAAAAAUUGUUCAAAAAAAUUAGUUUUUAAAUAAGAUUUUCCAAAAGAUUAUAUUUCAUAAAAAAUCGUACAAUUUUUUUUUUUUUUUACAAAUAAAUUCUAUUUCCUUACUUAUAAUAGGAUUAAAAGUAAUUUUUGUAAAUUACAAAUUUCAAAAUUUUGAACCGCCCUUUUAGAUUUCAAAAUUUGAAAUGAUUUACGCCGCUGUCCGCAACUUGCAAUUUCAAAAAUUUGAAAUUGUUUACUUUGCUUGGGUGCUCGUCCCUUCAAAUUUCAAAUUUGAACGUUUGCCCGCCUUUCAGCUUUCAAAAUUUCUCGCCCAUCAAAUUUCAACUUAGGGGUGCCCGCCUGCUUGCCCUUCAUUUCAUAAUUCCAUAAACAAUUGUCCUCAUCUUGGCUGUCCUUUCGUUGGUUUUUUUUGGAAGACACGGGGGAGAAGGUAGAGACAAAGGUUGACAGAGUAAGUGUAACGACCCGCACCCAACCAUGUAGAUAUUGUCCGCUUUGGGCCCAAGGGGGCCCUCACGGCUUUAAAACGCGUCUACUUGUUUAAGAAGAGUCUCUACAUAUAUAGCGUCAGGAACUUCCUCCCCUAUCCGAUGUGGGACAUCACAAAUACCCCCCCCCCCNNNNNNNNNNNNNNNNNNNNNNNNNNNNNNNNNNNNNNNNNNNNNNNNNNNNNNNNNNNNNNNNNNNNNNNNNNNNNNNNNNNNNNNNNNNNNNNNNNNNUUUUUUUGGAAAGACCCGGGGGGAAAGGGAGAAAAAAGGGUUAACAGAGUAAGGGUAACCCCCCCCCCCCCCCCAUGUGUUUUUUUUCCGCUUGGGGCCCAAGGGGGCCCCCCCGGUUUAAAAAGGGGUUUACUUUUUUAAAAGGGGUUCUUAAAUAUAAGGGGUCGGGAACUCCCCCCCCUUUUCGGAGGGGGGACUCCAAAAAUCCCCCCCCCCCCCCCCCCCCAUGCAGACACAACGUCCUCGUUGUGUCCCAUGGGAUUGUGGGGCCAAACAGACAAAGCCAAACAAACUCCCACACCGGGGUCAGGGAUCGGCUCUGAUACCACUCUGUCACGCCCAAGACCCACUCCAAGGGCAUGACGGUCAUUUCACACCUCAAACCCGAAGGCUUAAAGUAUAAUCUGACCCAAACAAUCAUAUUGUAACUGGAUGUUACCAAUUACCAAAUACCUGUUCAGAGUAGCAGAACAAAAUCUAAAAUCCUCAAAAUUCAAUUUCCAAAUAACUUCCAAAUAUCAAAUGAUCCAAAUGAACAUAACUAACAGUUAAACAAAAUCCAACAUAAAAUCUUAAGUCAANNNNNNNNNNNNNNNNNNNNNNNNNNNNNNNNNNNNNNNNNNNNNNNNNNNNNNNNNNNNNNNNNNNNNNNNNNNNNNNNNNNNNNNNNNNNNNNNNNNNACCCAACCAUGUAGAUAUUGUCCGCUUUGGGCCCAAGGGGGCCCUCACGGCUUUAAAACGCGUCUACUUGUUUAAGAAGAGUCUCUACAUAUAUAGCGUCAGGAACUUCCUCCCCUAUCCGAUGUGGGACAUCACAAAUACCCCCCCCCCCCCCCCCCCAUGCAGACACAACGUCCUCGUUGUGUCCCAUGGGAUUGUGGGGCCAAACAGACAAAGCCAAACAAACUCCCACACCGGGGUCAGGGAUCGGCUCUGAUACCACUCUGUCACGCCCAAGACCCACUCCAAGGGCAUGACGGUCAUUUCACACCUCAAACCCGAAGGCUUAAAGUAUAAUCUGACCCAAACAAUCAUAUUGUAACUGGAUGUUACCAAUUACCAAAUACCUGUUCAGAGUAGCAGAACAAAAUCUAAAAUCCUCAAAAUUCAAUUUCCAAAUAACUUCCAAAUAUCAAAUGAUCCAAAUGAACAUAACUAACAGUUAAACAAAAUCCAACAUAAAAUCUUAAGUCAAAUCCUAAUGAUGACCAUUCCUCAGCCUAGCCAUCACUCCUCACCCGAACUAAGAGUACCUGAAGAAUUUUCAACAAUUGGGAAUGAGCUCACAGCCUAAUAAGGAAUAUUAAUGCAGUUCAUGAAUCAAAUAUUUUCAUUUUAAAUAGGAGAUAUCAUUUUUUUUUUUUCAUCAAAUAUUAGAGUUUCAAAAAUACCAAUAUAUUCAAAAUUCAACCAACCAUUUUCAUAUCAAAUUCAAACACUUUCACAUAAGAUUCAAUCAAAUCCAUUCAAUUUUCAUUACUCUGGUUAUCAAAUAUCAAAUGCCCAAUUAGGUGGGACUUUUCAAAUGGGUGGCUAGCUUCAAAUUGUUCCUGGUGGACGGAACUAAACACUACUAGUACUAGUAACCUCUAACCAAACCCCUAGAGGCUGGGGUCCAAAUCAAUUACAUUCCCACCAUGAAAUGUAAAGGUCAACUAUUAUAUCCCGUUGACAGGGCCGAAUAGUCAACUAUUAUAUCCCGUUGACAAGGGCCAAAUAAACCAGAGUGAUGGUUUUGUUCAAGUAUUCAAAUUUACACAACAUAAUAUCUCCAUAUUUUGUGUCAUAAAUGAAACAAAAUAUUCCAACAUAACAUUUAGUGCAAAACAAUUUGAUCCAUGCAUGAUAACAAAAUAUCAUUUUCUUUUCCACAAUUCAAAAUAACGUAUAAAAUAAUUUAAUUUUAUAAAUAUUACAUUAACUUCCUUUACCUUAAAAGAAAUCCUCCAAAAACUUUGGAGAAAAAUAAUCCUGAAAAUCUACUCUUCACCUAACAAAACAUAAGAGAAACAAUUAUUACUAUUUAUUUAUAAUUUAACUAAUCUAUUCCUUAUUUAAAUAAACUAAUAAAUUCCCAAUUUAUUUCUAAUAACACAUUACUAAUUUAAUUAAAUUAUAAUUUUAUUUCAUUAUAAAAUUCUAUAUAUAUAUAUAUAUAUAUAUAUAUAUAUUUUGCUAAAUCUAUUAUUACUAUUAUCUUAAUUAUAAAUCUAAAACUAAAUAUUAUUAUUUUAAUUAACCAAUUCCAAAGCCACUCAACCUAUCUCGGGUACACCAAACCAAAAAGCAAGUUUUUUUUUUUUUUUCAUUGCCAUCAUGAUCCAUUAUAUAUAUAUAUAUAUAAAAGGGCUUCCUGGCGCACGCCUUUUUUUUUUUGUUCCAUGCUUCCAAUAACACAGUACACGUAUGCCCUUUUUUGUUUUUUUUUUUUUUUUAAUAAAAUUAACCCUAACCUAAAAUCGAAACCUUCCAAGAAAAUUUUUUUUUUCAUCUAAUAAAACUUAAGAUCUCCCAAAUUCAAAUACUAAAAUCAAAAUAUUAAAUUUUCACUAUUUGAUAUUAAAACGAAUUAAAAAAAAAUAAUCUAACCCUAAUCUAAAUUUGGGGUUUUCCAAAAAAAAAAUAUCUAAUAUGCUUGAAAUUAACUAAUGACUCUAAAAUAAUAAUCUAGGGGUUAGAAACUUACCUAUAGAGGUUUGUUCUUCAAACCUUAAAAUCUGACCUCAACUUCACGUUCUCUGGAAACUCUCUGCGAACAGGAAUACAAUUCAAAAAAGAACAGGAAGAAGAGAAUUUUCUAUUUAUACCUAGGGUAUUAAUCGUAAGGAGUGUUUGUCUGUUUGACCCCGCAAUCUCAUGGGACACAACGAGGACGUUGUGUCUGCAUGGGGGGUAUUUGUGAUGUCCCACAUCGGAUAGGGGAGGAAGUUCCUGACGCUAUAUAUGUAGAGACUCUUCUUAACCAAGUAGACGCGUUUUAAAGCCGUGAGGGCCCCCUUAGGCCCAAAGCGGACAAUAUCUACAUGGUUGGGUACGGGUCGUUACAAAUGGUAUCAGAGCUGAUCCCCAACCCCGGUGUGGGGGUUUGUUUGGCUUUGUCUGUUUGGCCCCGCAAUCCCAUGGGACAUAACGAGGACGUUGUGUCUCCAUGGGGCGGGGCGGGGGGGGGGGGGGGGGGGGGGGGGGUUUUUUUAUUCCCCCCCCCGAAAGGGGGGAAAGUUUUGGGGGGUUUUUUUUUUAAAACCCCCCUUUACCAAAAAAAACCCUUUUUAAACGGGGGGGGGCCCCUUGGGCCCAAAAGGAAAAAAAAUUAAAUGGGGGGGGGGGGGGGGUUUCCAAAAGGGGGGGAAAAAAGGACCCCAAAAAGGGGGGGAAAAGGGGGCUUUUUUUUGGAAAAAUUUUCCCCGGGUUUUUUUUUUUCCCCCCCCUUUUUAAAAAAUUUUUCCCCCCCUUUUUUUUUUUUUUUUUUUUUUUUUUAAAAAAAAAUUUUUUGGGGCUAACCGUUUUUUUUUUUUUGGUGCGGGGGAAAAAAAAAAAAAAAAAAAAAAAAAAAUUUUGUAUUUUUUGGGGGGGGGGGCCCCCCCUCAAAAGGGGGUUCUUUAAAAAAAUACCCCCCCCGGGGGCCCCUUUUUUGGGGGUUUUUUUNNNNNNNNNNNNNNNNNNNNNNNNNNNNNNNNNNNNNNNNNNNNNNNNNNNNNNNNNNNNNNNNNNNNNNNNNNNNNNNNNNNNNNNNNNNNNNNNNNNNAAAAAAAUAAAUCUACCCGUAAUCUAAAUGAGGGGGUUUCCCCAAAAAAAAAAUAUUUAUUAUGCGGGAAAAUUAAAUAAAGACUCUAAAAUAAUAAAUCUAGGGGUUAGAAAUUUACUUAUAGAGGUUUGUUUUUCAAAACAUUAAAAUAAGACCUCAAUUUCACUUUUUCUGGAAACUCUCUGCGAACAGGAAUACAAUUCAAAAAAGAACAGGAAGAAGAGAAUUUUCUAUUUAUACAUAGGGUAUUAAUCGUAAGGAGUGUUUUUCUGUUUGACCCCGCAAUCUCAUGGGACACAACGAGGACGGGGGGGGGGGGGGGGGGGUGUUUGUGAUAUCCCACAUCGGAUAGGGGAGCAAGUUCCUGGCGCUAUAUAUGUAGAGACUCCUCUUAACCAAGUAGACGCGUUUUAAAGCCGUGAGGGCCCCCUUGGGCCCAAAGCGGACAAUAUCUACAUGGUUGGGUGCGGGUCGUUACAGUAAGGGGGAGAAACAAGGAACCAGAGGAAGGAAGCAGAAGGCUAGCUUAUUCGGUAUACAUUUCCUCUGGUUCUUUUGUUCUCUCCCUCUGUUUAAUAUAAUUCUUACCUCAAUUUAAUUUAAUUCUUAUUGAUUUCUAUAAAUAUAUAUUUUAGGUCUAUACAGUUUCAUUUUUAUUGGUUCAUGUAAAUAUAUAUAUAUAUAUAUAUAUAUAUAUUGUAUAUUUUGUUGAGGUUGCCUGCCCUUCAUAUGAGGGUUCCGUUAACAAUUAUCCGCGUCCUGGACGUCCUUUGGUUGGUGUUUUUUUGGGAGACCGGGGCGGACCAGGAACGGAGAAAGAUUUACACAGUAAGAGAUAGAAACAGGAAAUCGGAGAAAGAAAGCAAUAGAGUAGGUUCAGUGCACAUUUUAUUUCUCUCAUCUAUCUCAUCUAAUUCUUAUUGAUUUCUAUAAACAUAUUUUUUUUAUAUAUAUUUUUAUUAGGUUUGUAUAGUUUCAAUUUGUUAGGUCUUGCUAGUUUUUGGUGAAGGAUAGCUUGCUCGAAGCCGCUUCAAGCAGUACUACUUGGGGGAACCUUUCCAGGUAUGGCGGCUGUACGCUUCUUUUUAUUUUUUAUGAAUUUGCUCCAUUUUAUGCCGAUUUUCUGGGUAUUUAAUUGAUGACUGAUGUGGAAAUUAAGUUUUAAAUGGUUGUUUUUACUGAAUCUGAAUUUGUUUUCAUACUUAACUCUGUUUUGGUUUUCUACUAAUACCUUUUAUUUUCCUCUAAAUACCUAACGUAUGGACUGUUCUUGGUUGGAUACUUGCUAAUCAUGCCACUGCUCUCUGCUUGUCCCACUUACGUUCAAGCACUUGGAUAACACAAUGAAAUGUGGCUUCCUCUAACUGUUUGUCUGUACCACUUUUGUGUUUUACUUUCUUCAUAUCAGAAGAUUAAAAUGAUUUUUGUGCCUUUUCUAUGAUAAAUGAAAAAUAAUUAUUCCCCUUUUUACCCCUAUUUGAUUCAGCGGAUGGUUUGUUUCACGUUCUAUUUUCCAGGGGACCUAAUAAGUUUGAAACUGUUUAUAAUGUUUUGUUUUUCGUAUUUUAGUAUCAACACACCCAACUCUCAUAUAAGGCGUUGCAAUUGAUAGAAUCAAAGGCUGGACAUGGAUCAAAUUGCUGGCCCAAGCAGUAGACGAGGUAUGAAAAGUGUUUGAAAAGUCUGUUUAAAAUUGUCAAGUUGGAAAUAUUUAGUUACCAAGAUAUGAUUAUGAGUUAUUAAAUGGCAAAAUGAAUAAAAAUUCGUAAUUUUGAGGUUUUUCUUUGAUACACUUAACCAUGUAACCUAUAUUUAUGAAAAUCAAAUAAAAUUGUUUGGAAUCUAUUAAACAUUAUGAUUAAAUAUAUUAUAGCUUUGUAUAAUAUAGAUCAACCCAGUUACUCACCAUGUAGCUUAUUAGGGUUUUUAUUUUAUUUAUUUAUUUAUUUAUUGUUAAUUUGAAUUAAAUUAAACUGCCAAAUGCAAUAUAAUUUAAGAUAUUUGUAAGCUCUAUUUGAUAGUAUUAGAGGUUUAUGUAACAUAUUUGUUAACUAAACUACCAAAUGAGGGAUAUUAUUAAUUAUUGCAUUAGGUUAUCUAAUUUAAACUGAUUAUUUUCUCAUGGUCUUGUAGGUUUAGGACAUUUUUAGAUUAUUAUGUCUUACUCUUUAUUUAAUAUUUAAAGGUGUUGCAUAAUUAAUCAAGAUGAGAGAGACAAGUCUUACUCUGUCCAAGAAGAAUUAAUUAGGAUCUAUCUUAUCGUUAAAUGGAUGUUAGGCUUUAAGCAAGAGGGGUGUUAGUAUUGAUUUUAAAGUACUCGUGAGUGAGUCGACGUUUUAGCAUUACCCCAUGCUCAAAGUAGAAUUCUAUGGAAUUCUAAAAUGUUUCUUUUUUAAGAGUUUUUUCUUUCUGGAAAAUCUUAGAUUUUCUUUUUAUAGGUAAAAAGAAAAUCUAAAAUUUAGAGGGUCAUCAGAAUGCACACGAAGCAUAUAAAAAACAUUUUUCGGUUAAGUCAAGGGGAAACAACAAAUACAAUUUGCCCUCGGCCUAAGCCUAAAGCAUAAAAGACCAAGAGAAAACAAAAACCUCGAGAUGACCUUCUUGUAUGCUUGUCGACCAAACUGGUUGCUGUGACCCAACCAUGACAAAAAGAUGAAACAAAAAAAAUGCAUCUUCUACCCUUGACUCUUUCUGAGGCCACAGUUUUUUGAGUUGCGCCAAGAUCCUUGCACUGAAGCCCACUGUCGGCAAGCCCAACGAGUCGGUGAAAGUUUUCGGGUUGCUUGAGGACGGAUUCGCCAUAGACACCCAUGCUCUAGAAACCCAGCCUGGACAUGACCCAUUUGCAUUCACUUGUUCUGAGAAACCGAAAAAUCCAUUUUAGGGGACCGUAAUCAUUUCCUAGAGAAUUAACAGAAAAAACCACCUCACAUCCCUUCGAAUCAAGACCAACCCCAUAAAAUGCAAAAGUUGCUCAUGUCUCCAAGGGAGAAAGAGAGAAAGAAAAAGUACCAGAAUGUCCUACCGCUACUUCCAUAAGGGCAAUUUCUCCAACUGCAGCAAGUGAAGUAGCACUCUCACGUUCUCAACAGCGCAUCUCUCCCGUGGCUUCACCGCUAUCCUCUAGACCAGAAAACGCAUAACUCGAAACGUCAGUAGAAAUAAAUGGUUGUACUUCCCACCACAAUUGAUGGAGAAGCAAGAGAAGUCAUCCACCGCCGUCAAUAUCCCAAGCAUCCUUCUCUCAUCUAAUCUUGCUAAAGCCACGCAAGUAUCCCUAAUCUUUUUUAACGUCUUCGGACUCCACAAGUGCAAAGGAAGCCUUACCACGCUAACCCACACUUCCUUGGCAUGCGCACCUUUUCGACAACAGUCUACCUCGAGGGACGACCUAUCCAAGCGCAAAACCAUUUCCUUAAACCUUUUUACACCACUUGGCAAAACAAUCUCUUUAUCACAGCCAUGAUCAUACUCGAACUAUAGAACAACACCCCUUAGCAAGAUAAUCCUUAUCACCCCUUAGAGACCAAUCAUGACCUACACAACUCCUGAACCCAAGAAAAUCUGGGGUUAGGUAUAGAAAAUCUACCCAUCUCCCUACUAGACAACUACUCAAUUUCUCUAUCCGGGUUGAACCUCCUCAUCAAACUGAAUCCAAAUUGUUUCAUUCACCAAAUCGUGCUCUUUAUAACCAAGUCUACAAUAAACCCCUUCAAUGGAUACACUGAACUAUCCAUGUUCAAAGACCUUGAGGUAGUUGGGUAUGGAAGCCUCAUUUCCUUUGACGAAACUACUCAGAGAAAGUGAAGUUUGUCGGCCGGGAUAGACCCUAUCCCCUAGGAUACUUGUCACGACCCAAAUUCCGGGCGACCCAAAAUUUGACCCAUGACCCCAGGUCAAAGGUUUGACCCUAAGAGUUCCUCCUAUUCCACGUUGGCAGUCAACCAAAACACUCUGGAUUUUUUUUUUAUAUACAUCUCACUAGAAUUCUCAUAAACCACAAUAUCCCAAAACUACUCAAAACAACAAGAUUAAAUAAAUAUUCAUUAGAGUCCAAAAUAAAAUUUCACAAUUAACACUUAAUCAAAAUAAAGCUUCAUAACAAAUCCAUGAGUCAUAAUUACUAAAACAAAUCCAUGAGUCAUAAUUACUAAAACACAAUAACAGAAAAUGUCACGUUCCACUAGGCCGCUCCAGGAGCAUCCUGAAGUCCUCCCUGCCCCACCUGUGGAUCCUCAAGAGAGAUAUCUGCAUCUAAAAAUGUGUAACAAGGAAGGGGUGAGCAUUUCCACAUUGCUCAGUAGGGUGCCUAACACCCAAGGGGUUAAGGGGAUUACUAAGUUUCAAAGAAUACGAAAAGAACACUUCAACACCAUAGGAACAAUUCAACAAUAUCAAUCAAACCACAUAGUUUAAUAUAUAAUUCUAUACACAAUUUCACAAUAUUCAACAAUUACAGGAAUGCACAUGAACGUGUGACACACAGUCAUACAAUGCACUAUUGUUCUCAGGCUUUCACCGAAUGAUACGCGUCCGCACCCAAAUACACUCCCCAUUCGGAGUUGAUUCGUCCCUAGCAGCGGCAGUGGCAAUGGCACCAUCUGAUUCGGGGUUCGAUCCCCGGCAACGGCGCCAUUUGAUUCGUGCCCAAUUGAUGUCUCAGCUGAUUCGUGUCUAGCUGGUGCUCCUUGAUUGAGGGAUUAAUCAACAAAAUUUAUAACCUAUUACACCAUAUACUAGGGUAGCAAAGACAAAGCUACUAUAGCAUAGUGGCUCUAGGAUCGUUCACUGGGAUGGGUUUUCACUUCACAAAUGAUAUUAAUUCAAAGUUGAAUUGGUGCCUUUUCAUUUCAAGGUUAGCUUUAAAAGAAAACAUAAAAAUGUUUGAAUGAAAAAGGUUUGGUUUUACACUAACCAAAAAUAGUAACUGAUUUUACUUACAAAGAAAAGUGUUUCUUGGAGUUCAGAUCACUAGGCUCAGGUUCCUCAUACAAAAAAGAGAGUUCCGGUCACUUGUUUCUUUUCCUCGCAUUAGAGAAUUAACAUAUAGUUCCUUCUCCAACCGGUGUUGUACAGAUGCUUCCCAUUAAUGGGUUCAAACACUAAAUCCCUCUCACUGAUGCACCUUGCAAUGACUCAUACCUCUCACCUAGCACUUGCCAUUCAAGGUGAUCUUUAACCUUGGAUUACCCGUCAAAAGCUCGCAAGAGAUAACUAAUGGAUGUCUCCUUGGAGUCCAAAAGCUUACCAAGUGUUGGCUAUUCUAGAAAAUCCUACCUUCAAGUCACCUCCCAAAGGCUCGCAAUGGGUAAACUAGUGCAUCUCCAUGGACGGAGAUCACUUGCCUUACCAAGUGUUGGCCCAGGUGAUUUAAAGGCGUUUUAAGUUAACUAAAAAGAUAAAAACCAUUAACGGGUUACACUUUCUCUUCAUUAAAAACUAAAACAACAAAACUUCCAAAUUAUGCAUGUGGAAACUUACCCGGCUUUCCUUACUCCAAGAGACAAAAAGCUUAGCCUCUCAUCCUCUUAGGAAAAAUCCUCAGAGUUUGGUUAGCUAGAAAUAAAAAGAAAUGAAAAAUCAAAGAGAAGGAAAAACAGAGCAAGGCUCUGUAUAUUCUAUAUAUUUAUCGAUAUGGAUUACAUGAUACUCUUACAGUGGAUGCAAGGGAAUAUAUAUAGAGACAUUUUUCCAACCUUCCCAACUAAGAAAUCUUAUGGUUGGUGGAUUACAAGGAGAAGAAUGGAAAUUCAUACAAAAAUAUCUGAAGAAAAAUAUCCCAAAGUGUCGGUCACAAAUAUCGGGGUGCUUCAGGAACCAUUUCGCAAGAGAAAAUGGUGUCUGCGAGAUUUCGCAGGCACUCAAGAAGGGUUGCGAAAUUACUUCGCAUCAACAAGCUGAACUCGCACCGCUGCGAAGUUGGAUUUCAUCUUGUGGUGUUUGGCUUCCAUCGCGACGUGAAACUUCAAGAGGAAUUUCAAAACACUGUACAAAAAGGCUGCGAAAUCAUCUCGCAACAAAAGGGUGAUUUCGCAACACUUUGCAAAUUUCUUCCUUCAGCUUGGAGUGAUUGACUUGCAGUGGCUGUAACUUCUUCGUUUCAACUCCAAAUUGCACACCGUUUGAAGCAUUGGAUUCUUGACUUCCUGAGCUUUGAAAUGGUAUAUAGAAUGUACAAAAUUGACUUCGGGAAGUGCUCCAAAAGUGCACAAGAAAACUGCAGCUGUUGUCCUAUGUUUUCUUCACUCUGUUUUUCCUCUCUCCUUGCUUCUCUCCUUGCAUACUUUGAACGACUUUGGCAAAGGGCUAUGGAGCUCCAAAGCUUGGUUCUUCAUUAAUUUGAGCUCUUCAUUGCUUUGCCAUGGAUUCCAAAUAACUCUCCUCAAUCCUGGAUUGUUUUGGUGAUCAAAUUACUAACAAAAACACCAAAACUUACACAAUUUGAUUAGAAAUGAUUGCAAGGGUCCUUAACAUGUUAAUUGGGUUAAAAGGCAAUAACUACUACUCAAAAGUGUUUAAAAGAGUUAAUUACAAGCUAUCAAAUAGCACUUUUUGAGUAGUAAUCAGUCUUCCUGGGGUAACUUUUGGGUCUUUCACCCUAGGGAUCUCUCUCCCUUCUUAAUUCGUCCCACACGACUUUCACUUCUCAUCACUAUUUCUUUUUUUUUUUUUUUUCCAUUUCAUACACUUUUCACAAUCUUCAUAAUUUUAUUUAUUUUCCACAUAACCAUGAUGCAAAUGAAUGCCACAAUUCCAAGGUUCCUCAAUAAUUCAACAAUUUCAACAUUCCCCAAUAAUCCAAUAAAAUAAUUUCACACAUUAAAAUUUCUGAUAAUAUCCCAAAUAAAUAUUCAAAAAUUUGCAUAUCAAAAAUCUUGAAAUUUUACCAUACUUACGGAAUUUUUCAACCAUUAUAAUAAUUUCUAAUAUUCGAAAUUAACUAACUUUCUAUCAUAAAAAUUCCAAAAAUUUUCUAACUAAUGCCUAAAAAUUCACCAAUUACUAUUUUUGAAAUUUAGCCCUAAUUUUGGAAUUUUUCAACCCUUCAAAUAAUUUUUUUACAAUUCAAAACAAUUAAUUAUCAAUCAAAAUCAAUUUCCCGCAAUUACAAAAAUUCCAAACAAAUUCCAAAUAUUCUAGAAAAAUUCAUACAAUCCCCAUAAUUCCUAAUUAACUCAUAAUGACAAUAUUUACAAUUUUUUUCAAGGGAAAAACAUAAAAAUUUAAGUUUUAAGGUUAGGGUCCCCUACCAAAGAUCUAAGAAUUCAGCUGCUAAAAAUACAAUUGGCCACUGUAUGAUUGUUCCCCUCGUCGAGUAGAACACACCCUCCAAAUCUGAGUUGAAACGGAGGUCGUUUGACCACCCAAACGACCGGUCAAAGCUCCGGCGAGGUGAGAUUUUCUAUAGUGCCGCUGCCCCUUUUCUCCCAGAUCUGCUACUGUUCCCUUCUUUUCCACUUAAGCCCAUUUCUUUUCAUUUUAAUCCACUUACCAAACAGCCCACUCAAGCCCAACCCAAGUUCAAAAUAAACCCAAUAACUAACUCCCAUUUUUCUUUUAAAACCCUAUUUCAUCCAAGCCCAAAUUACUCCAUUUUCAUUUUUUUUUUUCUUUUCUCUUUAUUUUUAUAAAACACACAAUUUAAUAUUUUUCUCAAUUUUUUAUUAAUAAGGAAUUUAAUUUAAUUAACUAUUAUUUUUUUUCUAAUUAAUUUUAAUUAAUUAACUUUUCAUUUUUGUUUUCGUUUUUUUUUCUUUUCCGGAAAUUCCCAAUUACUAAAAUCCUAAGAAAUUUCCACCCUAAGGCUGACAUGGCAUAAAAUUUUCAACUCACCUAAUUGACCAACACAAUAAACUGAAUUUCACCAAUCCAAAACUAACACCUGUUCUUCAGGCACUUUUCUUUUUGACUUUUCAACCAUCAUUUAAAAUAAGACUUUUCAAACUAAAAAUGCUAACGUGACAUAAAAUACCCGGUCAUUACAUCCUACCCCCCUAAAAGAAAUUUCGUCCCGAAAUUUAAACUAGCUUACCUUAAAAUUCAUAGAAGAGUUGCGAAUAGUGUCGUCUCAUUUCUUCCUCAGGUUCCCAAGUGGCUUCUUCUAUCCCAUGGUGUUGCCACCACACUUUGACUGCAGGAAUCACCUUGUUCCUAAACCUAUGCUCUCCAACUUCCAGAAUUCGUAAAGGUUCCUCCACAUAAGAAGUAUUUUCACUAAUCUGAACAUCUUGCAAAUCCACUACCCAAGUUGGAUCUGGAGUACACUUCCUUAGCAUUGACACAUGGAAAACAUCAUGCACAAGGGACAACUGUUGAGGCAAAAUUAACUUGUAUGCCACUGUGCCAACUCUCUUAUCAAUCUGAAAUGGUCCCACAAACCUAGGGGCUAACUUCCCCUUCUUCCCAAAUCGAAAUAUGCCUCUUCGAGGGGACACUUUUACAAACACCCAAUCCCCUUCCUCAAACUCCAAGGGUCUUCUCCUUUUGUCUGCAUAACUUUUCUGUCUAUCUUGGGCAGUCUUAAGUUUUUCCUUGAUGAGUUGUAUCUUCUCUGUAGUCUCUUAGACAAUCUCAGGUCCCAACAAACGACUUUCACCCAUCUCUAUCCAACACAAGGGCGACCUACAAGGUCUCCCAUAAAGUGCUUCAUAAGGUGCCAUGCCAAUACUAGAUUGGUAACUGUUGUUAUAAGCAAACUCUACUAAAGGUAAGUAAUCUGCCUAAUUUCCUCCAAAAUCCAAAACACAAGCCCUUAACAUGUUUUCUAAGAUCUGGAUCACUAUUUCUGAUUGACCAUCUGUCUGAGGGUGAAAAGCGGUGCUAAAAUUCAGUUGAGUGCCCAAAGCCCUUUGUAAACUCUGCCAAAAUUGAGAAGUAAACUUAGGGUCCCUGUCAGACACUAUAGAUACAGGUAUCCCAUGCAAUCUCACAAUCUCCUGUAUAUACAACUUAGCCAAAGAGUUCAUGGAAUCAGUAGUUUUCAUGGCUAGAAAAUGAGCUGACUUAGUAAGACGGUCCACAAUCACCCAAACUCCAUUUUUCUUGCUUUUAGUUCUUGGCAACCCUAUCACAAAGUCCAUAGUGAUAUUAUCCCACUUCCACUCAGGUAUAGGUAAAGGUUGCAACAAUCCUGCAGGCCUCUGGUGUUCAGCCUUCACUUGCUGACAAAUCUGACAAUUAGCUACAACCUGAGCAAUAUCUCUCUUCAUCCCACUCCACCAAAACUGUCUCUUUAAGUCUUGAUACAUCUUGGUAUUCCCAGGAUGGAUGGUAUACUUCGCCCUAUGAGCAUUUGCUAGAAGUUCAUUUCUCAACUCCACAUCUUUUGGCACACACAAUCUCCCUUUGAACCUCACACUCCCAUCUUCAUACAUAGACCAAUUUUCAUCUAUUUCACCUGCUACCAACUGGGCUUUAACCUUUUCUAAAAACUCAUCAUGAACUUGGGCCUCCACUAUUCUCUGGAUAACCAUUGGUCUAGCUGAUAUACUGUACAAGCAUGGACCAUGCCCUUCCAAACCAAGACAUAAUUCAAAAUCCUCAAUAACUGCAUGCAUCUCAAACUCUCUCAACUCCAAGCUAGACAACUGGCCAACACUCUUCCUACUCAAGGCAUCUGCUACAACAUUCACCUUUCUUGGAUGAUAAUGAAGAGCAAAAUCAUAAUCUUCCAAUGUCUCCAUCCAUCUCCUUUGCCUAGAGUUCAGAUCCUUUUGAGUGAAAAUAUAUUUCAAACUCUUGUGAUCAGAGUACACCUCAAACUUCUCUCCAUACAAAUAGUGUCUCCAAGUCUUAAGGGCAAACACCACUACUGCAAGCUCCAAAUCAUGUGUUGGAUAAUUCCGCUCAUGCUGCUUUAACUGUCUUGAGGCAUAAGCUACCACCUUGCCUUGCUGCAUUAGCACACACCCUAGCCCCACUGUGGAAGCAUCACAAUAAAUUGUAAACAACUCUCCACUAAUAGGAGCAGUUAACACUAGAGCAGUGGUCAAUUUCCGCUUCAACUCCUGGAAAGCAUUCUCAUACUCCUCAUUCCAAUCAAACUUCACCCCAUUUCUAGUCAACCGAGUCAUUGGUACUGCAAUUCUAGAGAAGUCUUCCACAAACCUCCUAUAAUAUCCAGCCAACCCCAAGAAACUUCUAACCUCAAAUACAUUGGUAGGCCUUUGCCACUCCUAAACAGCUUCCACCUUGGAAUGGUCUACUGCUAUUCCUGCCUCAGAAACCACAUGGCCUAAGAAAUUCACUUCAGUAAGCCAAAACUCACUUUUUUCCAACUUCCCAUACAACUGAUGUCUUCUUAAAGUUUUAAGAGUGGUCACCAAAUGCUGUUUAUGCUCCUCCAAACUCCUAGAGUAAAUCAAAAUGUCAUCCACAAACACAAUCACAAACUGAUCUAAGUAAGCAUGAAAUACUCUGUUCAUUAAAUCCAUGAAAGCAGCGGGGGCAUUAGUUNNNNNNNNNNNNNNNNNNNNNNNNNNNNNNNNNNNNNNNNNNNNNNNNNNNNNNNNNNNNNNNNNNNNNNNNNNNNNNNNNNNNNNNNNNNNNNNNNNNNUUAGUGUGCCAUCCUUCUUCUUCACAAACAACACUGGGGCUCCCCAUGGCGACGUACUCGGACGAAUAAAACCUUUACCCAACAAUUCAUCCAACUGAGUUUUCAAUUCCUUCAACUCAAGAGGGGCCAUCCUAUAAGGGGAUACUGAAAUAGGAUCAGUUCCUGGGAAUACUUCAAUAAAGAAAUCAAAUUCUCUAUGAGGUGGUAAACCUGGAAACUCAUCUGGGAAUACAUCUUGAAACUUUCUCACCACUGGAAUUUCUGCAAUGUCCUUCUAGGCUUUCUCCUUACCACGAAGGUAAGCUAGGAAAUUUAUUGAUCCCUUCCUCAACACAUACUGAUAGCACGGAUUGGAUUGCGAAAAAAGCAAACUAACACACUUUCCUCCAACAAAGCAAACCUCAAAUCCCUCUGGCAGACAAAAUAUUAUCCUGCGGCGAUGACAAUCAAUAAUUGCUCUAUACACUGCCAACCAAUCCAUUCCCAAGAUAACAUCAUACCCAGUCAUAUCUAAAAUCCUCAAAUCCACAUUAAGUGCUAUAUCCACCAAGGUAAUAACGCACCCCUUGCAUAUUCUAUCAACUUUAGAGUUCGUACCCAUAGGGGAUUCAAUAAGUAACAAAUUCUCUACCCUUUCUGAUUUCAACCCUGAUGCAUUAGCACAAGAUAUAGAAAUGAAAGAAUGAGUUGCACCAGUAUCAAACAAAACAUGCACCCAAGUACUAUAUACCAAAAUCAUACCUUCCACCAAGAGAGCGUCCUCCUCUGACUCUGUUGGGGUCAAGGCAAAAACUCUCCCAGCUGUCUGCCUUCCCCUACCUCUAGCAUUCGACCCCUGAGAAGAGCGGGUCUGACUCGUGGUAGCUGUCCUAGUUCCCUGUGCUGCUGGGGGUAAUUGUGGCAUCUGAUAGUAAGGCAACUGAAACUGAGGGGGCUGGAAAGGCACUACUGACUGUUAUUGAGAACUUCCCUGAGACUGAGGUCGAGCCUGCUGUGCACCUUGCACUGGGCAAGCCCUCCAUAAAUGGUCUCCUGCUCCACAACCAUAACAUACUCUAUUAGCAGCUGCCCUCUGAGCAAUCUGCCCCCCUCCUGCAUAGAACGAGGGACGCCUCUCAAACUGCUAAGUCCUCUGCCUCUGCUGUGGCCCUUGGGAACUUUCCCUCAUUCUUUGUUUCCCUUUUCUGUCCCCCUUUUGCUCUCGAAUUUGGUUAGUUUCGUCAAUGUCCUGCUCCACCAACAAAGCCCUCUUAACCAACUCAGAAUAGUCCCUUAUUGCCAAUGGGACUAAUCUAUUCCUAAUAGCAGGCCUCAACCCCUGCUGGAACCUUCUAGCCUUUUCUCCUUCCUCCCCGAUCAUCCCCAAAGCAAAUCUAGACAACUCCGAAAAGCGUGACUCGUACUCCAGCACCGACAUGGUUCCCUGGAUGAGGUGCUCAAACUCCAUCCUCUUGGCAUGCUUAGCCACCUCCCCAAAAUACUUGCCUAGGAAGAUUCUCUCAAAUUCCUCCCAGGUCAUAACCUCAGUGUCAUACACCCUUUUCAUUGAUUCCCACCAGAAAUCAGCUUUAUCAACAAGCAUAUAUGUUGCUAGACCUACCCUUCUUUCCUCAGGUAUGUCCAGUCCCACCAGAAUUCUUCUCAUCCUCCUCAACCAAUGCUCAGUUGCUUCAGCAUUGGGCUCUCCAUUAAAAGAUGGAGGUUGCAUCACCAUGAACCUCUUUAUUGCUUCCAUUUGGCUCAUUACUGGCCUCUCAGUGCGGUUCCUCCUAUGUGAGUGGCCUGAAUCCUCAUGGCCCUGGGUACCUCCUGAUCUCCUGGAACCCUGGCCUCUCAUCAAUUCAACAGUUUCUCUCAACUCUCUUCUUACUUCUCGGAGUUCUUCUCUUACCGUCUCCAACUCCUCAUUCCUCUCUGAUCUUCCUCCUCUGGUCCUUCCCGCCAUUUCAAGUUUAACAAACCCUAAUUCAAUCACAUUACUAAGGUGAGCAAAAAUAAAUUUCACAUAUACACACUUAGCAACUUCAACAAUUAUCAAAACUUUCACUUUCAUACACUCAUAAUACAUAAUUCAAUUAAUCAUCAACUAGUUAAUUAACACAUACAAAAAUCAUAACAUUACAACACACAUAAACACCCAAGGUAUUAUUGCAACCUUGGCUCUGAUACCACGCUGUCACGACCCUAAUUCCGGGCUACCCAAAAUUUGACCCGUGACCCCAGGUCAAAGGUUUGACACUAAGGGUUCCUCCUAUUCCAUGUUGGCAGUCAACCAAAACACUUUGGAUUUUUUUUUUUUUUAUAUAUACAUCCCACUAGAAUUCUCAUAAACCACAAUAUCCCAAAACUACUCAAAACAACAAAAUUAAAUAAAUAUUCAUUAUAGUCCAAAAUAAAAUUUCACAAUUAACACUUAAUCAAAAUAAAGCUUCAUAACAAAUCCAUGAGUCAUAAUUACUAAAACAAAUCCCAAAAUCCAAACAAAAAACACAAUAACAGAAAAUGUCACGCUCCACUAGGCCGCUCUAGGAGCAUCCUGAAGUCCUCCCUGCCCCACCUGUGGAUCCUCAAGAGAGAUAUCUGCAUCUAAAAAUGUGUAACAAGGAAGGGGUGAGCAUUUUCACAUUGCUCAAUAGGGUGCCUAACACCCAAGGGGUUAAGGGGAUUACUAAGUUUCAAAGAAUACGAAAAGAACACUUCAACACCACAGGAACAAUUCAAAAAUAUCAAUCAAACCACAUAGUUUAAUAUAUAAUUUUAUAUACAAUUUCACAAUAUUCAACAAUUACAGGAAUGCACAUGAACGUGUGACACACAGUCAUACAAUGCACUAUUGUUCUCAGGCUUUCACCGAAGGAUACGCGUCCGCACCCAAAUACACUCCCCAUUCGGAGUCUUCCCGGGGUAACUUUUGGGUCUUUCACCCUAGGGAUCUCUCUCCCUUCUUAAUUCGCCCCACACGACUUUCACUUCUCAUCACUAUUUUUUUUUUUUCCAUUUCAUACACUUUUCACAAUCUUCAUAAUUUUAUUUAUUUUCCACAUAACCAUGAUGCAAAUGAAUGCCACAAUUCCAAGGUUCCUCAAUAAUUCAACAAUUUCAACAUUCCCCAAUAAUCCAAUAAAAUAAUUUCACACAUUAAAAUUUCUGAUAAUAUCCCAAAUAAAUAUUCAAAAAUUUGCAUAUCAAAAAUCUUGAAAUUUUACCAUACUUACGGAAUUUUUUAACCAUUAUAAUAAUUUCUAAUAUUUGAAAUUAACUAACUUUCUAUCAUAAAAAUUCCAAAAAUUUUCUAACUAAUGCCUAAAAAUUCACCAAUCACUAUUUUUGAAAUUUAGCCCUAAUUUUGGAAUUUUUCAACCCUUCCAAUAAUUUUUUUACAAUUCAAAACAAUUAAUUAUCAAUCAAAAUCAAUUUCCCGCAAUUACAAAAAUUCCAAACAAAUUCCAAAUAUUCUAGAAAAAUUCAUACAAUCCCCAUAAUUCCUAAUUAACUCAUAAUGACAAUAUUUACAAUUUUUUUUCAAGGGAAAAACAUAAAAAUUUAAGUUUUAGGGUUAGGGUCCCCUACCAUAGAUCUAAGAAUUCAGCCGCUAAAAAUAUGAUUGGCCAUCGUAGGAUUGUUCCUCUCGUCGAGUAGAACACCCCCUCCAAAUCUGAGUUGAAACGGAGGUCGUUUGACCACCCAAACGACCCGUCAAAGCUCCGGCGAGGUGAGAUUUUCUAUAGUGCCGCCGCCCCUUUUCUCCCAGAUCUGCUACUGUUCCCUUCUUUUCCACUUAAGCCCAUUUCUUUUCAUUUUAAUCCACUUACCAAACAGCCCACUCAAGCCCAUUUCGUUUCCUCUUAAACAGCCCACUCAAGCCCAACCCAAGUUCAAAAUAAGCCCAAUAACUAACUCCCAUUUUUCUUUUAAAACCCUAUUUCAUCCAAACCCAAAUUACUCCCUUUUCAUUUUUUUUUUAUUUUCUCUUUAUUUUUAUAAAACACACAAUUUAAUAUUUUUCUCAAUUUUUUAUUAAUAAGGAAUUUAAUUUAAUUAACUUUUUUUUUUCUAAUUAAUUUUAAUUAAUUAACUUUUCAUUUUUGUUUUCGUUUUUUUUUUCUUUUCCGAAAAUUCCCAAUUACUAAAAUCCUAAGAAAUUUCCACCCUAAGGCUGACAUGACAUAAAAUUUUCAACUCACCUAAUUGACCAACACAAUAAACCGAAUUUCACCAAUCCAAAACUAACACGUGUUCUUCAGGCACUUUUCUUUUUGACUUUUCAACCAUCAUUCAAAAUAAGACUUUUCAAACUAAAAAUGCUAACGUGGCAUAAAAUACCCAGUCAUUACAAUACUUCUUCCUUGAGGGAAGCUCAAGGUGAACCUUUUAGUCUCCACACAACAAAUCAAGCAAAUAAUGAACCCAUCUGCCUCAUAAGAGCUUAGUUCCAGUGUAAACUCUGUCUCGUCUUCCACCCAUGUUUUGUUGCACAAAUUUUCAUCCUCAGACCUAUAACAAGCUUCCACAUCUUCCAACAAACAACACAAGUUCCUUUUCCCACACCUGAUCCACCUGGACACACCUCUGCAUCUCUCCAAAAUUCUCUUUUAGUUUCCCUCCAAACGUCUCUAUUAAGAUAUCAAAUGACUUUGAUCCUAUUGCAAAACAACACCUACCAUUUCUCGUCUCUCAUUGUAUAUUGUCUGGGAAGAGUAUAAAUGUGGAAAGCGUUUUUUGCUUGUCCCACAUAGGAAAAAGUGGAACACUUUUAGUGGGUUUAUGCCCACUCGCCUUAGCCUAAUGGGCCUUUGAGUGGGAAAAGCUCGCAUGCUCAUGGGGUCGAAUCCCAUUUGAGUGGGUUUUUAAUGUUCACUUUCUCUCCUCCUUCCUUCCUGUGUACGGGUGCGUUAUUCGCUAAUUUUUAUUUGUUACUCUUUUACUUUUUGUCAACUCUUUGGGAAGAACCCUAGAGUUCCAAUGAGAUUGUACUAGUAGAUGUCUUGUAACAUUUACAACUAGACUCUUGUUCUAUUUACAAGUAGAGUCUUAUUCGGAAUGUCAUGCAUUCGAGUAAGAGCAUUUGCCUUUCUUCUCUAUGUAAAUAAAAGGUUGGAAUGAUUUCAAGACCCUCAACAAAAGAAUGGAUUAAGGUGACAUUUUUAUUCGCUAUGAAAAAUAGUUUUGUUGUUUUUUUUUUUUUUUGUUUUUGUCGCUAAUAAAUUUUGCUCAUUAAGUUCUUGUUUGAUGUGCCCUUGUUAGAACACUAUAAUAGUUGUUCUUUUUGGGUUAAUGGUCUCAAUCAUGAAUUGAUAAAAUUUCAUAUCCUUUUUCUUUUGGAUUCCAAGCUCGGUUUUUUCUUAAUCAUUGUGGAAGACGAAGCGGUUCGCUAGCCUCUACAUCUAUAGAUCCUACGUAAUAAUUAAACUUGGUGGUGGCUCGUUGUUUGAUGAGUGAUUCCUUGAUCACUAGAUCUCGAGAUUCCACCUUAUUCUUGGUUGAUUGGCAUUCUUGUAAGCUAAUCUUGCAUACUAAUUCUAGGGGUCCUAGGUGAUGCACCAACCAAAGAAUGUUUAUUCCCUUAGCCAUAAAACAUGAGAUUGGCAAUGCUUGUUGCUCAUUAGUCUGUCAUUAAUAAGAUUUCUAGCUAUUGUUUUUAUUUCACUUACAAGUAAAGUCUUGUUCUAUGUUAGUGACAUAUAAAACUAAGACACUCCUCACUUUCCAAACACCAAUUUUUUGAAGAGUUUUUCAUAGCACUUUUCAUACAUCUAUGUAGAGGAAAUUUUCAAAGCUUAAGCUAUCCAUGACCUUUCUAAAAAGUGCACGCCCAGUGAGAUUCACUAGCAUUAAAUCUUGGAGGUAUAAUAUUAAUACCUUAAUACAUUGGGUUUGUCUUUGAGAUGGUUGGAUUUUUUUCAAGGAUAGAGCUUGUCAUGCCUUAGCUCAUAACCAAUAAGUUUUCUUGUUAUUCGUUUUAUUCUUUUUGUGUUUUUUACGUAAGUCCUUUGUUUUCAUACCCUUGGUAAACUUUUUAGCAAUGUUUUAUUUUGAAUACCAUAAGUUCUUCUCCCAUUCUCUUUACUGCAAACUUUGACAAAAAAAAAAAGGUUUUGCCCAAACUUUUAGAAGUUUUCUAUUUCAUUCCUAGGUGUGUGAGAGAGAUUUGUAACUCUCAAGUAAGAUUUAGGGAUAAGAGCUAUCAUGAGAAUUUGUACACUAAUGGUUUUAUAGUGGACUUAAGUUUUGUGAUGUCUGGUAGUUUUUACAUUGGCAUAAUCUUUUGGACAACUUUAAAUUAAUAUUCUCAUAAACUUUAUUAUCAUAAAUAUUUUGGGCUAAAGGGAAGUAAAUGCUGUAAAAAAUGUUAGUGUUGCACAAUUUAUUUUACUAUAACUGUAAGUAACUGAUUUAUUUUACUUAAUGUGAAUAUAAUGGGGCUCACGGUUGCCAUUUUGGAUAUGUUGGUUCUAUGAUAGUAAGGUUAGGAAGGCAACCAAAUAAUGAUGUCUCAAACAAAAAAUGUUCAAAAUUAUAUCAUGCCUUGUUUAAUUUAUAAAAAUAAAUAAGUAAAUGUGUUUUUAUGUUAGCUAUAUUGAAACGGUAAUCAAGAUAUGGAAUUAGUCUCUUGGACGGACUAUAAUGUAAAACCAAAGACAAUUCUAAUAGAAAAAGCACUGUCACAUUCCAAUCAAAAUUUGAACACUCCAUCCGCAAAUGAAAAGCUAACAUGUCCCAAGAUUAUAAAGUCAUUAUUGGUUUCGGAUGCCAAUGGUUCUAAGCCUUGUGUCUUCCCUAUAAACUAAAAUUGAUGUCUUUUAGUCCUUACUAUGUGACAAUCCCAGUCUUGUGCAUGGAGAAAGGAUCAAGCUUCAAUUGGUAGCACGGUUUGUAGAGGUGUAUGCGCAACUUGCAGAUGAGAUCGUACUCUUAUGGGUGGAAUAGCGCAUAGUGUUGCUGGUUGAUCUGCCAGUGAACUAGCUUGUAGAAUCACGAGUGUUGAUAGUCAAUCUAUCGUACAACCUGAAUCUCUUUAAGCUAAUAAUCUUAUGGCUUUUUAUGAUAUUACGCUGGUGGAGAAAUAUUUUGUUUAAGAAUUCAAUAUGAUGUUUCUAGUGGAUUGGUGUGCUUGAAUGUUGUGCAUUGUCAAUGUUUGCUUUAAUUGUCGUAAUUGGAGUGAAUUUUGGGGAAUCAGAUAGUAAGAAAUGAGCCUUUUGCAUGGGAAGGCAAUGCUGCUGGAGAACCAAAUUUCCUUUGAAGUUAGCGAUAGAGUGAUAGUGGUGUUUUCAUUCUUGCAAAAAUUGAAGAAUUUUUGGUUUGUCGUGAUCAUGCAAAUUAUUAAUGGGAAACAUAAUCGAAAGCUUGAUGGAAGGUGGAUGCCAACCAAUGGUGGAUAGUAGGGACCAAAUGAUUGUGAUGUGUAUAGGUAUAAGCAUCUGCUUGAUCUAUACCAAAGUAUAAAAUUGAUGGUAUAGGAUCAUUCGGAGAUUUGGUCCUAGAGUUUAUGGUCUUAUCAUUUGAAGAUGAAAACGACCAGUUGUGGUCGUUGGAAUCUACAUGAAGCAUAGUCCUACAAGUUAUUAUUUUAACAUUAUUAAGUUAUUAAUGAAUAAAAUAUUUAUUUAUAAUAUUUUCUGUAUAUCAAUUUAUAUUUGUUGAAAUAAUAUUAGAUUUUUUAGCUUAAAAAAAAUGUAGUCACAAUUGUGAAGUGAGGGUUUAGUUAAAAAAAUGGAGUCUCUAUUAACAAUUGUGGUUUCAAUUAAAAAAUGAAGACUCGUUGUCAGUACGGUUUUAAAAAUUGAAUUGGAUUGGUUGGUUGGAAUGUCGGUCAAUUUGAAUGGUUCAAACGUCCUUCGGUCGCCGUUUUGUUUGGUUCAAACGUCCUUCGGUCGCCAUUUUGUCUAGUUCGGUCAUUUAAGAAGGAAAGUGUUUGAAGCAGAAUUAGGCUAGUUAAAUUGGUGGUUGGAUCAUCGAAUAAAUCAAAGGGUUCCCUUCGAAUCGUACGAGUGAAUAUUUUUUUGUUUUUUUUCCAUUGUUGUCGUCUCUCGUCAGUUGGACCCCCACCUUGCGCUGGAAAAGCCCCCUCUUGCCGUCCCCGUUGCUAGAAAAGCACUUUGUGUUGCAAAGUCACCACCCUCGUGACGUUGUUGAGACCUCGCACCCCACGCCUCAUCUUAUUGUUCCUCGCCAACAGAACCCCCACCACCCUGUAAAGCCGUUGCCAUCUUCACCCUGGAAACCCCAUCCUCUAGGAGAGAAGGAAUUCUUAAAAGGAGAGUUUAUAGAGAGGGGAGAGGAGGGGGGAGAGAGAGAGAAGAAGCGUGCAGUGACAGCACAGAGAUUUUGUAUCAGACGGAGUAGAAAUGAGGGAGGUGAGUUCACUUUUCAAAUAUUAAAUUUAAUUUUCUCAUUCUUGUCUUCAAUAUACGUGUUAUUAUAUUUUGUAUCUUGAUUUUACAAAACAUUAUUCAGUUACAGAAAGAGAAAUGGGAAAAGUUUUAUUAUUAACACAAGUUUCAUUUGUUACAUCUAAUAUAUUUUUUAUACAUGGCUUAUUUUGACUAAAAACUCCCUUGAAACAGUGUAGAGAUAUCUAGCGGUAUUCUUUCUGACUAUCUCAUUCUCCUCGUAACAAAUAACAAUGGCAGGGAACAUGGUCAUCCUUCAAAUGGAGGAGCAGUGGGAAUCAUUCCCGGUUGGUAGUGAUCAUAUGAGAGCCUUGAUUGAUUUAAAAUCCAGAUUUCAUCGACUAGAACUUGAAGUGGAAUCUGAAUCUUCGUUAUCAUCAAGUGUAAAGCUGCAAUGUCCUAAAUUGGAACAUAGAUUUGGUUGAGUUAUCAAUGGUGAUGGGAGGAAUUCUCAGGCAUGCGGUGGUCUCAUUUAAACUUAAAGAAAUGUCCCUCAUGUGACAUGUAAGACUGCGCUUGAUGCGGAUUCCAACGUCCAUCAAUUCCUUCUCAUUUCUAAAUGAUGUCAUAACCUCUCUGACAUCUCUAAUUGAUGCAUAUCUAGCAUACAACCAAUCCAACUAUCCAAUAACGAAGGACCUUCCAAAUUUUUCAUUUUAACGAUGCGUUGGGCUGCUAGAAUGUUCAUCACCUAGGAUAAUUCUUCGGAAGAGAUCGAGUAGACGAUGACAAGGCUUUGACUCGUUCUUAGGACUUUGCGACUUCAAUUUGGGGCCAAUAAUUUUGUUGUAUGGGAAGAACAGGCUGGGGUAAUAAUUCUUCAUUUUUUGCAGCAAGGACUCCCUCGUACCUAUAAAUUCCUGUAAUAUUGACUCGUCGUUAAUGCCGAAGAAUUCCUGGAACACUGGCAUCCAAAAAAAACCCACCGCUCCUGAACUCACCUUCUUCAUCAGCUUCAAAAAAUAAUUUUUAAAUAUAAAGUUAAAUAGAUAACUUAUUCUUAAUCUUAAACAUAUUUUCUUUCAUUUGUCCAUAUUUAAUAAAAACAUAUUUUAUAACUAUGACUUUACAUCCAUAAAUUAUUUUUUUAUACAACAUAUUAUAUAAUUAUGUUAUACAUUUAAAAUACUUUAAACAUAGAUAUUUAACAAAUACAUUUAUAACUUAAGAUGAAUAAAAGUAAAUAUAAGUUUAAAUUAAUGAACAAAUAUUAUUUAAAAUUAAUGAGAAUAAAUACGAUUAAUUUAAUUAUUUAAAAUAAAUUUUAAGUUAAUUUUAUUCAAUAAUCUUAAUAUUUAAAUUUAAAAAUAAGUUUUAAGUCAAUAUUAACUUAAAUUGUUAAGUAAUAGUAAUAAGUUUUACCCAACAUCUUUUUAAUUAUUGAAUUCAUAUUUCUUUUAUCAUUUCUCUUAUCCAAUUAAAAUUAUUAGAAAUCCAUCCAUUUAUGUUUUCUAUUUAAUCUCUUUAGCAAACUCGUCAUGUUUGAGUAGUUAAAUUAAAUCUUAUGUUUCCUCUCUCUUUGGGAUUUGAGAAAAAAAAAUCGAUAAUUUUAAAAAACAUUUAUUAAAAUAUGAUAGUUUUAAAAAUAUUUUAAAAUUUAUAAUAGCAAAGCAAAAAUCCAAUUGGAAAUAUUUUUGAAGCACCAUAUUUUAAUAAAUAUUAAAAAAUGGUUUUUUUUUUCCCCUCAAAAUCCCCAUCUUGGCUCUUGAGCAUUGCCCUCCCACUUCUAGUUAAUUUGUAACCACAUGUUUCAAUUUUGUUUAUUGAUGAGACAUUUCAAUAAUAUCCGAAUUGCCUUCACAGGUUUGGACGUUUCUUUGCCUUGUAUCUCGGCUAAGGAUAAUCUAGUUUUUUCUUAUCAUGUAUCACGUAAUGUUAUGGGAAAUUGUCUUAAACAAAAAUAUUGUUCAACAUUUAAUAUCCAUUAGACUUAAUUUCAUUCACCUUCCCUUAGAUUUUUGUUAAUACAUUUUAUUCUUAUAAAUUAAAAUUUCAUCAAAUAUAUAUUUUAUUUCUUUUUAUUUUUUAUUUUCACUCACCUUCUUUCUCAUUUAAAAUAAAUAAAGUAUUUGAUAAAAUUUCAAACUUAUAAAUACCAGAUAAAACUAGUCAAAACCUCAAGAAAAUGAAAUUAACUCAAUCCCAUUGUAAAUUCUCGUAUGAUUAAAUAUUAAGAUGAAUACGACAUAUCUUUAAGAUGAGUAUAAAUAAAUAUAAUAUCAAAUUAUAUAUAAAAAGGAUAGUUUAAAUUAAAUAAUCAAUUUAAUUUUCAAAUAAAAUGAUUAAUGUCAUUUUAACAUAUACGUGAUAUCGACUCCUACAUGUAUGGUUUAAUUUAAUGUUACCCACAUAGCUAUUCCAAAAUUAAAAUUUUUACUUACCCCUACGAUGUUAAGGCGGAGUAAUUGAUCAUACAAUGCAUAAUAAUUAUUUUCUUCAUUAGAUUAAAUAAUACAAAUUACAUAUACGAAUGAGAUUAUUUAGAUGGGAUUUCUAAUUAAUGAUCCAGCUUAGGUGUGAACUUAAAUUAUGUGUUUGUUGGAAACCCUUGUGAUGGAAUAAAAUUUCAUCCUUUUAUACUUGUAUUUAUUUUUUUUGAAGAACAAGUUUGACUUUUCCUUUAUAAUAAACAUUAAGUCUUUUUUUAAAGGGUAAAUAAGACUUUAAUAAUGUUAAUUGUUAAGUGAAGUGUGAACAUCUCCUCCAUGUGAACAACUGGAGCAUCUUUUACCUACAACUUAUAUGUAUUGUCUCGUUGUUCACAUGAAACAAUAAAUAGUGUAAGUCAAAUUCUCAUUACAAAUAUAAAAUUGCAUUAAUUCUCUAUUAUUAUUAAUCUUGGAUAUUGCACCAACAAAAACUGAGAUUAUAAUUAAAUAAAUCCAAAUCAGACAGCACUGAGCCUCUUUGUUGUCAUUUUUUUCAACCUUGGUGCCAAUCAUAAGUCCGGUAUUAAUUUAAUCAUGAUAUGAUCUUGAUUCAUUGAUUACAAUAUAGUUUAUUUGUGGUAGAAUUUUGGGAAAAUUAAUAUAAAAAAUAUGUGAGGAGGAAUCUUUUAUGGAUGGUUCAGGGAGAAGAGGCAAAUGAAGAUGUCCCAGAAAUGAAUUGGUGAUCAAAUAAUCCAAGAAAAAAAGCAUCAAAUCUAUGAUAUGUAUAAUGAAAGAUGUAUUUAAGUAAAUAAAUAAGCUCGUGUUAGGCAUGAACCCUUCCCAAAACCAAGGAGACACGCAUUAGCCUAUUUUAUGUGCUUCACUUGCUGUAUAUUAGUAGGUGUAUGAAUAGAUUAAUCUUUCUGAAGAAAAAAAAAAAAGAAAGAGAAGAAGACUUGAGUGCUCCUUUUUAAAUGACUUUCCCUUUGGAUAUCGUUAUAUCAACAAGGACUAGCUGACAGCAGCCUGUUGCUUACUCGAUUGGAAUUAUGGAGCUUGCAUGCAAUGAGCUGGUGAUUCAUAUUUCACAGGUCUGAUGUGGAUGAACUUUUUUCUUUCUUUUCUUUUAAUAAAUGAUAAGAAUAUCUCACUUAUAAAACAAAAAGAGAAAAUUAGACUAUGCGUGGAAACUAUUCUCAACAAUAAUUUUUUGUUUUUUAAACAUAAAAAAAAAAAUAUGAAAACACAUUUGCCUGUAAUUAUUUCUAAAAUAGGUUACUGAUGAUAUCUUUUAAUUAUUUUUGGUUAAUUUUAUUUUUUAUUUAGAGCUAUUUUUAAAUGUAAUUUUAGAAAUAUGAAAAAUGAUUAAAAUAUAUAAAAGGGUACAUAAAAGAAUAUUUUGAAAACAUAGAAAAUAAAUUGACAAUAUUUAAAAUUACCAAAGAAGCUUUUAUUAUACCAUCGUAAAAUUAUUUUUGAUAAUUAAUCUCAAAAACCAUCUUUUUAUAACUAUUUUGAAAAAUAUUCUCUAAUUAACAAACCUUAUGCUUUUAAGGAGGAUAAGGUAAAAUUUUAAUAAAAAAUAUAAAAUAUGAAUAUUAAUAUUUUAGUAAAGUUAUAAAUUAUAUUUUUUUUAUUAAAAAUAAAUAUUUUUUUUAGAAAAUGAUAAUAGUUAAUAAUAUCUUAUUUAAACUGAAUUAUGAAAAUAAGUAUAAUUUAUUUUUCAAAAUAAGCAAUAAAUUAAUCAAGUUUUGAUCACGUACACAUGUUUAUUCCCUAGUUACAAGUAUUCUGAACCAGUUCAAUCCCACAAAAUUUUUAUAAUAAUUAGCAUAAUUUUUUAGUUUUAAUUUAUUUUUAAAAUAAAAGCAUGGAACUAGAUUGAAUCUUUCUUGGGAAUCCCUAGCAAUGCUGGAGGCUGUGGAGUGGCGGGAAAUCAGGGUCAAUUUCAAUCAAACGUGUAUCUCUUUGCAUGUUUAAAAAAAAAAAAAAAAACCACUUAGUCAUUAAUUGUUACAAGCUGUCCAUAUACUAUUCCACCACUUAUCCUGACGGAAUACUUAAAUUAAAUCCUACGUCAUCAUGUUCAACAUGUCUCUACCACUUUCUAAUUGGUAGCCACAAGUUUUCAAUUCCAUUUAUUAAUAAUAAAUUGAAAACAAAAUCAAACUUUCAAAUACUCGCAACAACGUAUGUGAUUUUUUUUCAUCAAAUAAAUCCAUAAAAAGAAUAGUCUCAUUACUAUUAUUUUUUAUUAAAAGAAAAAAAAAAUUCUCGAUAAAAAAUUCAAUUAACUAUUUUCUGGACACCCAAAGCGUUACACCAAGGGGAAAAGAAAAGGAUCAUACAAGUUAAAGUUAAUUAAUUUGACAAAAAAAAAUCAAAUUUGUUUCAUCAUCUCCCAUUAUUAUUUCUAGGAAGAUGUGGUGUGGUGUGACGUAGAACUAAUUAGCUCUUAACAAACAAAUUGAGCAAAAAAUAAUAUCCAAAUUAUGUCCUAUAUAUACCAGUUUAGGCUAGGGGUGUAUAGAGUAGAGAGAUAUCUAGUAGUACUCCCUCUGCCUAUCUCAUUCUCCUCCUAAGUCCUAACAAAUAACAAUGGCCGGGAACGAGGUGGUCCUUCAAAUGGAGGAGCACCGGAAAGUAGUCGCUGAUCAGUUUGGAAAACCUGCGGAUGGCAGUGAUCAUAUGAAAGCCUUGGCUGACUUAAAAUCCAAAUUUCGUCGACUAGAAAAUGAAGAGGAAUCUGAAUCUCCAUUAUCAUCAAGUGUAAAGCCACAACGUCCCUUAUCAUCAAGUGUAAAGCCACAAUGUCCCAUGGUUCCAAAGAGGUUGCGACCAGAUGUCAAGGGUGCUGAAGACUACUACUAUGCGCCAAAACUCAUUUCUUUGGGUCCUUACCACCAUGGCAAGCCCCACCUCAAGGAUGGAGAAACGCUCAAGCUUAAAUUGGCAGAAGCCUACAUCCAAGAAUGUGAGCCAACAGUGGAUGAAAUUUACAACACAAUUAGCGAUAGCAUUAGUGAGCUGAGGGGCUGUUAUGAUGCGGAGUCGACAAAGAAAUAUAAGGAUGACGAAUUAACCAUCAUGAUGCUGGUGGACGGGUGUGCUCUACUCUGUUACAUUUUAUGCGUUUGCUUAGGUUAUGGCCAUGAAGAUUUCAAUAUCAGAUAUCAGGAUAUAAGCCUUCUGCACCAGGAUGCGUUGCUGCUGGAAAACCAACUUCCCUAUCAAUUACUCCUUGAGCUGAUGAAGAUGGUGGACCCAGGAUCAGCCAAUGAUUUUUGGACGGCCAUGUUCCAGGAAUUCUUCGGCAUCAGCGACGAGUCAAUAUUUCAGGAAUUUAUCGGUAUGAAGAAGAAGGAGUCAUUCCUGCAAAAAAUGAAGAAUUAUUGCCCCCGCCUAUUCCUCCCAAUCAACCAAAUUAUUGACCCCAAAUCGAAGCCGCAAAGUCCUAAUAACGAGUCAAAGCCUUGUCAUCAUCUCCUCGAUCUCUUCCGAAGAAAUUUCCUAGGCGAUGAACGUUCCGGCAGCCCAACGCACCCAGAAAAUGAAAAUUUGGAAGGUCCUUCGUCAUCGGAAACUGAAAUUGGCCGGAGGCUGGGUAGAGCAUCAGUUAGAGAUGUGAAGGAGGUUAUGGCAUCAUUUAGAAAUGUGAAGGAGCUGAUGGACGCUGGAAUCCGCAUCAAGCGCAGUCCUACACGUCACUUGAGGGACAUUUCUUUCCGUUCAAAUGGGAUCACCGCAUGCCUGAGAAUUCCUCCCAUCACCAUUGAUAACUCAACCAAGGCUAUGUUCUUGAACUUGAUAGCCUAUGAAAUGAGCUCAGACGUCGACCAUGACUUCAUCUCUUACCUUCGCUUCCUUGAUUCCCUCAUUGAUCAUGCUGAUGACGUUAAGGAGCUGCAGUCCAUCGGGAUACUCCAAAAC
rnacentral:lncRNA from 1 species